AUUGAACGCUGGCGGCAUGCUUUACACAUGCAAGUCGAACGGCAGCGCGGGCUUCGGCCUGGCGGCGAGUGGCGAACGGGUGAGUAAUGCAUCGGAACGUGCCCAGUAGUGGUGGAUAGCCCGGCGAAAGCCGGAUUAAUACCGCAUACGACCUGAGGGUGAAAGCGGGGGACCGAAAGACCUCGCGCUAUUGGAGCGGCCGAUGUCGGAUUAGCUAGUUGGUGGGGUAAAGGCUUACCAAGGCGACGAUCCGUAGCUGGUCUGAGAGGACGACCAGCCACACUGGGACUGAGACACGGCCCAGACUCCUACGGGAGGCAGCAGUGGGGAAUUUUGGACAAUGGGGGCAACCCUGAUCCAGCCAUGCCGCGUGCGGGAAGAAGGCCUUCGGGUUGUAAAGCGCUUUUGUUCGGGAAGAAAUCCUCUGGGCUAAUACCCCGGGGGGAUGACGGUACCGGAAGAAUAAGCACCGGCUAACUACGUG
rnacentral:rRNA from 1 species